UACGGGGGGGGCAAGCGUUGUUCGGAAUUACUGGGCGUAAAGGGCUCGUAGGCGGCCAACUAAGUCAGACGUGAAAUCCCUCGGCUUAACCGGGGAACUGCGUCUGAUACUGGAUGGCUUGAAUCCGGGAGAGGGAUGCGGAAUUCCAGGUGUAGCGGUGAAAUGCGUAGAUAUCUGGAGGAACACCGGUGGCGAAGGCGGCAUCCUGGACCGGCAUUGACGCUGAGGAGCGAAAGCCAGGGGAACAAACGGG
rnacentral:rRNA from 1 species